rnacentral:rRNA from 1 species
AGAGUUUGAUCAUGGCUCAGGACGAACGCUGGCGGCGUGCUUAACACAUGCAAGUCGCGCGAUUCUCGAAGUUCGGGGUUGGGAGUUCGAACCUCGAACUUCGAACCUCGAACUUCGAGAAUAGCGGCGGACGGGUGAGUAACACGUGGAUAACCUACUCAUUAGACCGGGAUAACACCGGGAAACUGGUGCUAAUACCGGAUAAGCUCUUUAGAGUAAAAGCCUUAAAGAGGAAAGGGGAAACUCACUAAUGGAUGGGUCCGCGUCCUAUUAGCUAGUUGGUAGGGUAACGGCCUACCAAGGCGACGAUGGGUAGCCGGCCUGAGAGGGUGACCGGCCACACUGGGACUGAGACGCGGCCCAGACUCCUACGGGAGGCAGCAGUGGGGAAUAUUCCGCAAUGGGGGAAACCCUGACGGAGCAAUGCCGCGUGAGUGAAGAAGGCCUUUGGGUCGUAAAACUCUGUCUUGAGGGACGAAAAAAAUGACGGUACCUCAAAAGAAAGCCCCGGCUAACUACGUGCCAGCAGCCGCGGUAAAACGUAGGGGGCGAGCGUUGUCCGGAAUUACUGGGCGUAAAGGGCGUGUAGGCGGCCUGUGUAGUCAAGUGGUGAAAACCCGGGGCUUAACUUCGGGAUGGCCCUUGAAACCAACAGGCUUGAGGACAGGAGAGGGGAGUGGAAUUUCCGGUGUAGCGGUGAAAUGCGUAGAUACCGGAAGGAACACCAGUGGCGAAAGCGGCUCCCUGGACUGGUCCUGACGCUGAGGCGCGAAAGCGUGGGGAGCAAACAGGAUUAGAUACCCUGGUAGUCCACGCCGUAACGAUGGGUGCU